GAGUUUGAUCCUGGCUCAGGACGAACGCUGGCGGCGUGCUUAACACAUGCAAGUCGAGCGGGAUUUGAGAGCUUGCUCUCAAAUCUAGCGGCGGACGGGUGAGUAACACGUGGGUAAUCUGCCCUCAAGUGGGGAAUAACACAGAGAAAUCUGUGCUAAUACCGCAUAACGUAUCUUAGUCGCAUGGCUGAGAUAAAAAAGAUUUAUCGCUUGAGGAUGAGCCCGCGGCCCAUUAGCUAGUUGGUGAGGUAACGGCCCACCAAGGCAACGAUGGGUAGCCGACCUGAGAGGGUGAUCGGCCACAUUGGAACUGAGACACGGUCCAGACUCCUACGGGAGGCAGCAGUGGGGAAUAUUGCACAAUGGGGGAAACCCUGAUGCAGCAACGCCGCGUGAGUGACGAAGGCCUUCGGGUUGUAAAGCUCUGUCUUCACUGACGAAGUAUGACGGUAAGUGAGGAGGAAGCCACGGCUAACUACGUGCCAGCAGCCGCGGUAAUACGUAGGUGGCAAGCGUUGUCCGGAAUUAUUGGGCGUAAAGGAUGCGUAGGCGGUUUUUUAAGUGGGAUGUGAAAUACCUGGGCUUAACUCAGGGAUUGCAUUCCAAACUGGAAGACUAGAGUGCAGGAGAGGAAAGUGGAAUUCCCAGUGUAGCGGUGAAAUGCGUAGAGAUUGGGAGGAACACCAGUGGCGAAGGCGACUUUCUGGACUGUAACUGACGCUGAGGCAUGAAAGCGUGGGGAGCAAACAGGAUUAGAUACCCUGGUAGUCCACGCUGUAAACUAUGAGUACUAGGUAUGGGGGGGGCGAAGCCCU
rnacentral:rRNA from 1 species